GUGGGGAAUCUUCCGCAAUGGACGAAAGUCUGACGGAGCAACGCCGCGUGAGUGAUGAAGGUUUUCGGAUCGUAAAGCUCUUUCGUUAGGGACGAACGUGCUCUUUGUGAAUAAUGAGGAGUAAUGACGGUACCUAAAUAAGAAGCCACGGCUAACUACGUGCCAGCAGCCGCGGUAAUACGUAGGUGGCAAGCGUUGUCCGGAAUUAUUGGGCGUAAAGCGCGCGCAGGCGGGAUAUCAAGUCUGUCUUAAAAGUGCGAGGCUCAACCUCGUGAGGGGACAGAAACUGGUAUUCUUGAGUGUCGGAGAGGAAAGUGGAAUUCCAAGUGUAGCGGUGAAAUGCGUAGAGAUUUGGAAGAACACCAGUGGCGAAGGAGACUUUCUGGACGAUGUCUGACGCUGAGGCGCGAAAGCUAGGGGAGCGAACGGGAUUAGAAACCCUUGUAGUCC
rnacentral:rRNA from 1 species